UCCCCAUGUCCCCACCUACUUGAGAGCAGCAGCGGGACCUCCGAGCUCCACCUGCCGUCGUCAUUUCUGCACUGUUUGUGGAUUCUCUGCUCCCUAUACAUGUGUACAGUGUGGGAUGCGCUUCUGUUCAAUCCGAUGCCGGACUAUCCACAAUGAUACUCGAUGUUUGAAAUUUGUUGCGUGAUCUCAAGAAGCCAUGAGUGCAUUCACUUGCGUAUUCUAAACCUCCGAUCUGCAUGUACAAUCUCGUGUUCUAGCUCAGUUGAUCACAGAGGUGAAGUUUGGGAACAAUGACUCGCGACUGAGUCUUACCAGCGACAAUGUGGAAGCAACAUCUCAAAGUGAGGGGUUCCUUGUGCGCAGUAAGCAAAGUUCUAGCCUCUGUGUUCAGUUCAGUUACACCAUCCCUUGAAUUGCACCUAGCACUUAAUACACAUUAACUUCGACACUCUUUAUAUAUAUUUUCUGAAUUUUCUCUUUAAUUUGCUCAAUUUUGGCCUCAAACAAAUUACAAUAACAAAAAAAUUUGAAACAUGCCAGGCUAUCAACACAUUGUAUAUAUUCUGCAGUGAGAAUGUAGUUAAAUAUUAACUCCAAA